AUUUGAAAAAUUAGGGGAUGAGCUGUGGAUAGGGGUGAAAGGCUAAACAAAUCCGGAAAUAGCUGGUUCUCCCCGAAAACUAUUUAGGUAGUGCGUCAUGUAUCACUUGCGGGGGUAAAGCACUGUUAUGGCUAGGGGGUCAUCGCGACUUACCAAACCAUGGCAAACUCUGAAUACCGCAAAGUGCGAGCAUGGCAGACAGACAGUGGGUGCUAACGUCCAUUGUCAAGAGGGAAACGACCCAGACCGCCAGCUAAGGUCCCCAAGACACAGUUAAGUGGGAAACGAAGUGGGAAGGCAUAGACAGCUAGGAGGUUGGCUUAGAAGCAGCCAUCCUUUAAAGAAAGCGUAAUAGCUCACUAGUCGAGUCGUCCUGCGCGGAAGAUGUAACGGGGCUCAAACUGUGCACCGAAGCUGCGGAUAUCGAAAGAUAUGGUAGGGGAGCGUUCUGUAGGUCUGUGAAGGUGUCUUGUAAAGGAUGCUGGAGAUAUCAGAAGUGCGAAUGCUGACAUGAGUAGCGAUAAAGGGCGUGAAAAGCGCCCUCGCCGAAAGCCCAAGGUUUCCUACGCAACGUUCAUCGGCGUAGGGUGAGUCGGCUCCUAAGGCGAGGCAGGAAUGCGUAGUCGAUGGGAAACAGGUCAAUAUUCCUGUACCGAUUCUAGAUGCGAUGUGGGGACGGAGAAGGUUAGGUCGGCCGGGUGUUGGACGUCCCGGUUUAAGCGUGUAGGCGUGCCCCUUAGGCAAAUCCGGGGGGCUGAGCUGAGGCGUGAUGACGAGGGACCACGGUUCCGAAGUGAUUGAUACCAAGCUUCCAGGAAAAGCCACUAAGCUUCAGUCUAGAGUUGACCGUACCGCAAACCGACACAGGUGGGCAGGAUGAAAAUUCUAAGGCGCUUGAGAGAACUCAGGAGAAGGAACUCGGCAAAUUAACACCGUAACUUCGGGAGAAGGUGUGCCCCGGUAGCGUGUAGAGACUUGCUCUCGAAGCGCGAUGGGGUUGCAGUGAAAUGGUGGCUGCGACUGUUUAAUAAAAACACAGCACUCUGCAAACACGAAAGUGGACGUAUAGGGUGUGACGCCUGCCCGGUGCCGGAAGGUUAAGUGAUGGGGUGCAAGCUCUUGAUCGAAGCCCCGGUAAACGGCGGCCGUAACAAUAACGGUCCUAAGGUAGCGAAAUUCCUUGUCGGGUAAGUUCCGACCUGCACGAAUGGCGUAACGAUGGCCACACUGUCUCCUCCUGGGACUCAGCGAAGUUGAAAUGUUUGUGAAGAUGCAAUCUACCCGCGGCUAGACGGAAAGACCCCAUGAACCUUUACUGUAGCUUUGCAUUGGACUUUGAAUC
rnacentral:rRNA from 1 species